GCCCGUAUGGUGUAGUGGUUAGCAUUCAACCCUGUCACGGUUGCGACCCGAGUUCGACUCUCGGUGCGGGCG
rnacentral:tRNA from 1 species